CGGGGUGUAGCGCAGUUUGGUAGCGCACAUGACUGGGGGUCAUGGGGCCGGAGGUUCAAAUCCUCUCACUCCGA
rnacentral:tRNA from 1 species